rnacentral:rRNA from 1 species
CAGCCGCCGCGGUAAUACAGAGGGUGCGAGCGUUAAUCGGAUUUACUGGGCGUAAAGCGUGCGUAGGCGGUUAUAUAAGACAGAUGUGAAAUCCCCGGGCUCAACCUGGGAACUGCAUUUGUGACUGUAUAGCUAGAGUACGGCAGAGGGGGAUGGAAUUCCGCGUGUAGCAGUGAAAUGCGUAGAUAUGCGGAGGAACACCGAUGGCGAAGGCAAUCCCCUGGGCCUGUACUGACGCUCAUGCACGAAAGCGUGGGGAGCAAACAGGAUUAGAUACCCGCGUAGUCCCUGUCUCUUAUAC